GUUUGGGGGAGCUUCUGACAGCUGCAGUUUCUCUUGUUCUAGGAGAAGCUGCAGCUGUCAGAAGCUCCCCCAAACAUGG
rnacentral:pre_miRNA from 1 species